AGUGAACGCUGGCGGUAGGCCUAACACAUGCAAGUCGAACGGCAGCACAGUAAGAGCUUGCUCUUACGGGUGGCGAGUGGCGGACGGGUGAGGAAUACAUCGGAAUCUGCUUUUUCGUGGGGGAUAACGUAGGGACACUUACGCUAAUACCGCAUACGACCUACGGGUGAAAGCAGGAGAUCUUCGGACCUUGCGCGAUUGAAUGAGCCGAUGUCGGAUUAGCUAGUUGGCGGGGUAAAGGCCCACCAAGGCGACGAUCCGUAGCUGGUCUGAGAGGAUGAUCAGCCACACUGGAACUGAGACACGGUCCAGACUCCUACGGGAGGCAGCAGUGGGGAAUAUUGGACAAUGGGCGCAAGCCUGAUCCAGCCAUACCGCGUGGGUGAAGAAGGCCUUCGGGUUGUAAAGCCCUUUUGUUGGGAAAGAAAAGCAGCAGGUUAAUACCCCGCUGUUCUGACGGUACCCAAAGAAUAAGCACCGGCUAACUUCGUG
rnacentral:rRNA from 1 species